rnacentral:rRNA from 1 species
GUAGGUGGCAAGCGUUGUCCGGAAUUAUUGGGCGUAAAGCGCGCGCAGGCGGUUCUUUAAGUCUGAUGUGAAAGCCCACGGCUCAACCGUGGAGGGUCAUUGGAAACUGGAGAACUUGAGUACAGAAGAGGAAAGCGGAAUUCCACGUGUAGCGGUGAAAUGCGUAGAGAUGUGGAGGAUCACCAGUGGCGAAGGCGGCUUUCUGGUCUGUAACUGACGCUGAGGCGCGAAAGCGUGGGGGAGCAAACAGGAUUAGAUACCCUGGUAGUCCACGCCGUAAACGAUGAGUGCUAAGUGUUAGGGGGUUUCCGCCCCUUAGUGCUGCAGCUAACGCAUUAAGCACUCCGCCUGGGAGUACGGCCGCAAGGCUG